rnacentral:lncRNA from 1 species
AGAUAAUGAACCUAGAGUUAAUAAACCUAGGCUAUGAGUAUAGAAGCAACGAACCUAAAGUAUUAACUUAGGUUGAGAAAGGCUUGGACCUAGAUAGGUCAAUUCCAUAGGGUUAAGACCAACCCUUAAGUAAUGCGAAAUGGAUUCUGGAAUCCCAAAGCCUAUGGAUACACCGAGAGGGGUGUAGGGUGUGUGCAACGAUUUCGCCGCCCAAGGCUAUAGAACCAUUGUAGGGGCAUGUGCGACGAUUUCGCCGCCGGAUGGUUAGCCGGUUAGUGGAUCAUACCGCCUGUUGACUGAACCAUUGACGUGGCGUGUGCGACGAUUUCGCCGCCGGAUGGCUAAGUCAUGACCUAGGCUAUUGUUGGGUGAAGUGCGAUGCGUUCACCGCCAGACGGCUAGGACAGGAGUACGGUGAGCUGUUGUCAGCUGAGGUGCAUGUGAGAGUUCCUUCGCCUCGAGCUAGACAGUGCGCGGACUAUCCGCGAUUGAUUGACUCAAGACCGAGUCGAGUGGAAUAGUUGGCUAGGGUAGAGUCACCUUAGGAAAGAAUGGAAAAUACUAGGAUGUAGCAAUAAUUAAGAAUGUUAACGAAUAAAGAAUCGCCAAUGGGCGUAAUGUAAGAAAGAAUAAAGAAUAAUAAAGUGUAAAGAAUGAUAAUGAGUAAAGAGUAAUAGAGAGUAAAGAAUGAAAGAGUAGGGUAGGAUUAAUUAACCUACUGGGCUAGUUGCAUGAUCGUUGCAUAUUGCAUUUUGGGAGGCAGGACAUCUUAGUUCAAUAUCUGCUAUAUAUCUGUUAUAUGCUAUUGGACUAACUUGUUGCAGUGCCUUAUUAGACAUAUUGAUCGAGUUUUUCCCUUGGGUGGCCGUAGCCACUGGGAACCAUAGAGUUGGUUCUCACCCCACGUUGUUUUGGGGUGUUUACAGGUACACAAGUGAGCGGCGCGAGGCAAGGGCGUAGCUCCGUAGAUAGCGCCCUACCCCAGAGACCAGAGGUAGCAGUACCCGAGGUGGUUUAGCUUAGUGGUUUUUAUAAGUUAAAGAACAAACUUAUAUUAAGUAUUGUAAUACCUAGAUUGUAUUUGGGAGUUUAAUGUAAAAGAAAAGUGUGAUGUAAAAUGUGUAUGGAAUGGAUGCUUGUAAUAGCAGUUAGUUUUAUGUUAUUGAUACUCCCUUAUGGAAUCUUGACUGUUAUCGAUUCCUGGUUGGAACCUUUGUAUUGUACAGGUUGCGACGCCUUGGACGUACAGGGAAAAUUCUGUCCGUUUGGCGGUCUGUCGGCGGCGCCGCGACCCUCCCAAAUAGGCGAGCGGUCGCGGGGCGUGACAGAUAAAGUGGUAUCAGAGCAUAAAGUAGAGAAUGGAAAAAUAGUUUAGACAGGCCUAGGAGACCCUAGGAUAGUAAACUAUAGGAGAAUAAGGCUCGUGAGAGACGAGAACUUGUGAUUCGUGGCGAAAGGUUAAUGGAUUGGGUUGUGUCAUAACCUCUAAGACGGAUAUUAGAGGUAGACUCAAGGUAUGGUUUAUUCUCGACCGAGUGUGUUCAUGUUGGGCGCGCACAACAUGAAGCCGAGUGACGAGAAUAGACGUCCUUGGGUGACUUUCGCCAAAUUGACUUUUGAGUCGAUGUUAGUGGUCUCCUGUUCGGCCCAGAGGGUCGAGAACUAAUCGAGUUGUCCUGUUUCAGAAAGUGAUGGCACCGCAUAGGCGAUCUUCGUCCAGAUCGGCAAGGGAGGGGACAAGUGGUGUCCCUGAGCAAACCGACGCGAGCGGAGACUCAGAGCUUCGUGAUCAGUUGGCCACACUCGUUGGAGUAAUGAGGCAACAUGCUGAUUUGGUGCAGCGGCAACAGGAGGCUGCAAUGCGCCAGGAGGAGCGAAUGAAACGACUCCAAGAAAUCGUGGACCGGCUGGUGACAGCACCAGCUGCGGCUUGUCGAGAACGGCCAAGAGUUGGGGCGGAAAUGUUUCUGUCGGGGUCGGGCGGUCCGACUCCUAUUAGCUCAGAGGUCGUGGCGGAGAGGGAGCGAGCUCUAGCGGCCCUCAUAACUUUCAAGAAAUUUGAUCCGCCUACUUUUGAUGGUGUAGCACACUGGACCUUUGCAAAUUGCGAGAUUCGAGUGUUCGAUUUGUAUUCCGAACUUUUCCACACUUAGUGGAGGGCCGUCGAUGGUAUACCGGCCUAAAAGUUCGAUCUCGAGAGUUUUGGCAGAGUCCUGAGAGUUUUUACUCUCGGGGACCGGUCCCUGAUAGGAGAGACCGGUCCCCCAGUGAACAGUGCUGCGUAGCCAGCGAGGCAACCGGUCCCUGGCAGUUGAGACCGGUCCCCGAGCGCGUCUGCGCGGGGAGAGACCGGUCCCGCGCAGGGAGAGACCGGUUCCCGAACGUUGGAUUUUCGGGGGCAGGCUGAGAGACCGGUCCCAGGUCGGGGAGACCGGUCCCUCUGGGCGAAAACUGCCCAGACCGGGCUGAUGUAAAUUUGAGUUUUUGAGGGGCCUAAGUGGAUUUUGUUACCUUAGAGGCUAUAGGCAGCCUCUCCUCCCCUCUCACUCUCAUUUUCUCUCCCUCACACUCUUCCUACACUUCUAGAGAGAGAAAGGGAAGGAGAAGAAGGAGAAGAAGAGGAGAAGGAGCUUGCUUGGAGGCCUUGGAGCACCAUCUUCUUCCUCAUUUCUCACCUUUGGAGGCUUGGAGCUUGCUUUUGGAGCUUUGUGGUGGAUCAAUCUUCAACCCUAGAAGAUUUUGAGCUUGGAUUGGAGCAUCCUAGAGGUAAGUGGCAAGGUUCCUUCCUCUAGAUUUUAGUUUUGGAGCUUUUUGCUUGUCUAAACCCUAGAUUUUGGAUUUUAGGGUUAGAUUUGGGGAUUCUUGAUUUGAGGCUUCUUGAUCUCAUUUGAAUGGUUUGGAACCUUUAUAUAGGUUAGAUUGGAAGACCUCUACCUUCCAUUUGAGGAUUUAGAGAGGGUUUUCCACUUGAGGUGAGUUUUUCCCAACCCUAGCUUGAGUUGGUUAAUGUUUGAGCUAUUCGCUCUUCGUUUCGUUUGGGUGACCCUAUUUUUGAUGUUUCUAGGGUACUAGGGAGCUUGUGGAUAUCUUCGUUCGGCGAAACGAAGAAGUCGAUUUUGGUGGGUUUGACUUCAUGAAAAUGGGGCAAAAUGGCCCCUAUGCCUUCUAAACUUUUUGUAAAGUAUUUUUGAAUGCAAAUUCAUGCUAAACAUGAUUUAUAUGAAUUUUAGAACACUUAACAUGCAUGCCUCAUGUAUCGUAAAAUUUGUACUCCAUAUAGUAGAGCUAUAUGUGUAGAUUGCAUGCAUUGUGGAUAGUGCUUGGUUUUGCAAGUUGAGAACAUGUCUCCAUGCUAGAAUUGAGUGAACUAUGCAUCAUGAACAUAUUAAUGCCAUGCUUGGGACUCGUUGAACAAAAGUGUCAUAAAGAGGCACUUGGAAUUAGUAAACUAUAAAAUGCAACUUAGAGACAUGAUGAUAGGCCAUUGUACAUCUGCUAUAUAUUCCAUGUUAGAGACAUGAUGACAUAGAGAUAGGCCUUUGGGACAUUCGAUACAUUCCAUGUUAUUAGACAUGAGGACUUGGUACUUGCGACAGAUCGUUUGACUACUUGCCAUUGUGCUCAUUCGCACAUGCUUGUGAGGGUCGCUCCCUACAAGCCGGCACUCCGGAGAUAGCCAUCGCGAUUCAUAUUCGCCGUGCGGGAUUGGGCGCCGAAGUGGAUUGCCGUGGGACAGGCUCAUUCCUAGGGUGGGGAUGAUGACUACCACGGGGCCAUUAGGCUCGGCACCGGCCAGACAGCCUACGGGUGGGUCUCAGGGCCAUAGACAGCCUUCGGGUGGGUCUCUUCAGAUUUGACUUGAGUAUUCAUUAUGACAUGUGGACAGAUGAUGACUUAGAGUAUUACUUGGACAUUGACUAGAAUAGUAAACAACGGAACUUUACUAUUUCGCAUUGUGAACAUUAUGAUAGUUGGAGACUUUUACUUCAUGCAUAGUUGCUUCAUACUUAUGCUAAUUAUGCUAAGUAGAGAUAUCAUGUUGUAGUAAGUUACAUUUUUACUUACCUUUCGCUUUUCUACUUUUAUAGUCACUGACAUCUUUUGUAGCUUUGGGCCUCGUGGUGCAUUCACUGAAGUCAGUAAUUGCCCACUGGGAACUAUUUUUAAUAGUUCUCACGCCCCUGUUUUAUGGUUUACUUUUCAGAGCCUUCGGCACCGGCGGAGGCACGGGAUCGCGGCAAGGGGAUCGCUUAGCUAGCUAGCGAGGAGCGGUACUUUGCCUAGGUGGUUUACUCUUUCUUUUGUAGUUGAGAGAGUAAGAGGUUUUUGUAUCCAUGUAUAGAGACCACCUAUGUAUCUACCUAUAGCACUUGUAUCUGGGAUUUCUUUGUAUCACUUUAUGUUUUAUUUAGUGGAUUUACAGUUUUAUCCUUAUCCCUUGUUGUAGCAUUUAGACAUUUAUUACGCUCUGAUACUCCUAGAUGUCUUUUAUUAUUGCUUUUAUUAUUGUUGUUUUUAGACGCCUUAUAUAUUUUAGACUUAUGGUGGGUCUGGGCACACGCCGGGCAGGCUUCCGCUGGGUCCCGGGGCGUGACAGAUGGAGAGGAUGCAGAUCCGUGGGUUGUUGAGAUGUGGAUCGAUUCUAUGGAAACACUCUUCGAGGAUCUGUACACGUUGGAGCGAGACAAGGUAAACCUAGCCGUGCACUAUCUGAAACAAUCGACGAAGGUGUGGUGGAAAGGCGUCAAACGAGAUCGAUCGCCUAGUCUCCCUCCUAUGACUUGGGAUGAGUUUCGGGGGUUGAUAUUCUCUGCUUAUUUCCCCGACAGUGAGAAGCGAAAACUCCAGGAAAGAUUCCGGAAGAUGUGGCAAGGAGACCGUUCAGUCAGGCAUUACGAGCGGGAGUUUUCCCGUAUUGUGCAUUGUAUCCCGGGCGUGGUACGAGAUGACCAGGAUAAGGCCAACUGCUUUAUGCAUGGUCUUCGGCCGGAUCUUUACAGGCCUGUACUUAUGCUUAAGUUGCAGACUUUCGCCGAAGUUCUGGAUCGGGCCUUGUGGAUAGAACAAGGCGACGCAUCUCUGCGGGAGAGGCGCGAGGCCUAUUACGAGGAGAAAGGGAAAGGACGACCAACUAGUGAAUCCGGUGGUCAGUCAAGCAACAGACCUCAUCGAGUUCGCGCUCUCGAUCUCGAGCUCCGGGGACAUACCAUAUUCGGUCCUCGGCGAGAUGUGCGAUUUGUGGGGGGCCUCAUUUCCCACAGCAAUGUGAGCAGCGAGAGGGCAAGUGCUUCAAGUGUGGGCUGCCGGGCCAUAUGCGGGAUGAGUGUUCGCAAGGUGAUAGGCAGGCCUUGACACUGGCGACGACCUAUUCCUCUCCGGGACAGCCUGCAGGUGUGCCACCUGGGGCAUGGUCGGAAGAGCGGCCGUUGAGGACGAUGCAACCAGAGGGUUCGCGGCGAGCGCCAAGUGGCCAUGGAUAAGCGACCCGAGUUGCAGGGCCUGCCGUUGUUGACGACGUCAUGGCAGGUAUGAAUUAAUUGAGCAAGCAUAUACUUUUACACGAUCUCGAAUUGGUGCAUAGCAUGCAUUUAUCAUUGGUCAGUUGCUACUAUUAUUACAUUGCAUAGUAGGGACCGAGUUGUCGGGUGGGUGGACACCCGAGCAUGCUUGCAUUGUGAGAGUAUAGCGCCUGCUGGAGCAGGUAGAAAGCCAAGUGACACUAGCGAAUGGUUGGUGAUGGUUCUUGGAUAAGAAAUAGGACUCGUGGCGAACGCGACCUAGUGAAUGACUCUCGGAGCAAUGGAUUAGAGAUUGCAAGAGUUGAGCCACGAAGUUGAGGACGUGCCACGGUAGAUCGAACAUUGAAAGUAGAAUCACUGUGGCGAGAGUAGCCGUGUAGUCGCCGGACGCGGGCCCGUUGGCCUAGUAGUACCUCGAUGUGGAGGUAAGCGAGCCGUGCUCAUGUAGUUGAUGGGCAUAGGCAAGUUGCAUGAUACUAGACUUCAUGUGAGACGCUGUAGAGGUAUAGAGCGCUCGAGUAUAGAUACUCGUAGAGUGCGGUUUCGAUUCAGCCGGUUGAGUGUAUUGGCAGUAGCACUUUAGCAGGGCUAAGUGUGAAGCGGGCCAUGGAUCACUCGUGGGGCUGGUUGCUCGCACUAGGUGCCUAGGAGCCGAUAGAGGGUGUAGCUCUAUAGAGUAUGUCGUGUAGGACGACGUUGGCGGGUAGUGCUUGGGGACGACCCGUGCCUGGACCAUUUGUGAACUGUGGAGCCUGGGCCCAUCGAGCAGGCGCAGUCAGCUAUGAGAGACAGCGGCCCGGUACCUAUUGGUAGGGCAGAGUGUUGGUCAGGACGGUAGUCCGAGCUUGGACCCGGGUGCGUGGAAUGCCACGUGUUAGAUCAUGAGAUUGAUGACACACCGAGUGUAUAGUGACCGAACCCGAGGACUUGACGUGGUUUGGGGUCUUGGUUGCUCUUGGUUGGAGUGCGUGUGAAUUCUCCAAUGAGAAUAUCGCUCGAUGAUGAUUGGGUCUGCGCUUGCGAGCAAGAGACGCUAGGCAUCGUUGAGACGAGUCUAGGCGGAAGACCUGCAUAGGAUUGGUGGCCCUUGGUCCACCUGUGUAAACCGACGGUUAGUGCGGCCGACAACUCUGUUAGUGAGUUUUGGCCUGAACCCCGGAUGGCGGGUUCAUAUGAAUUCGUUGCAAGAACGAAUGAAAGUUGAUCGUGGCUUACCGUAUUAAGGACAAAGAGAAAGUAAAGUGGUCUCUAGGAGACACUUGAAUAACGGAUAGCCACGCGAGGAUUGGAGUUUGAGGAUGAUGCUCUCAAGAGGAUAGAGAUCAGAGAUGUGUGGGAUUGUACCAUCUCGUGAGAGAGCAGAGAUUCGAUUGGGUUUGAAGCACUCGCGAUUGGGUCGAGGCACCAAUGAUAUUGCUUUUGGGCAAUGCCGGUGAUCGGAUCAGAGUGUGUUCCCCGAAGUGACGAGAAAUGCAAAGCGGAGUUGUAUCGAGCUCUCGAAUAACCGAUGUCACGCCCCAAUCCCCGCCAAUUUGGUCGGGUUCGGGUCACGUCAACAGACGCCGAACGGACAGAGCCUUCCCUGUCCGCCCAAGGCUCUAACAACAUGUAUAAUUAGGCAAUCAACAAGAGAAUUGCAUAGAUAAUACAAGGCUUGCACGAGGGCAAGCAACAACGAAAGCGAAAGCUCUAAACUAAUUAAGCAACAUACAUGAUAUUUGAUUAGCAUUUAAACCAAAUUCAAGUAAAUCUAUUACAUUCUUGCAUCAUAUCUUUUUACAUUUAGUCAUCCACCAAAUACAUGAUUAUUUACAACUUUGCAUCUCUAAUUCACCAAAAUAAAGCUGAUACAUGUACACCAAAAGGAAAAUGACUACAAAAUGUACUGCAACUCCGGUGGCCGCUACCUACGGCGCUAAACCCUUGCCUCGGUCCUCCGCCGCCCCGCUCGUGCUAGGACCUGUAGGGUUAGUGGUGUGAGAACUACAACGAAGUUCCCAGUGGGCUAGGCAUCCGACCUCGCCGACUUACCCACUAGAUCUAUCCAGGCAUAAGUAUUUCAAGGAAAGAAAAGUAACCGGUACUAAUGCAUCUAAUACUAUGCCUGCAAAGGAAUGUCAGUGGAUACAGAUAAUCAUCAACAUAUGGGAUGCAUGCAUGCAUGUUCCUUUUUAUUACUUUAUCUUUCUUACCCAAUCUUACCGGUUAACUUUGUUAACCCCAAUAGCUCACCAUACCAUCUCCCGUCUACCGGGGGAGGCUUUAAGCACAACCACCCGAGGGAUCGUCGACGGGAUUCUUCCCGUUGGUGUCUACACUUCGAAGUACACCACUUGAGGGGGAGCGACCUCCCUCAAGCCCAAGUUCAUGUGAGCCUCGAUCCAAUCCUCAAACUGAGGAUACAUAGUCACUAGUCAUGAUGCCACUCUCAUGGUGGGUUUUCUACCUAUUUAUUCAUGCCACCUUCUAGUCAUUUCUAUCAAUGCCAAUCUUGUCUCUAUAGUCAAUGUCACCUUUGUUUACUAUAGUCAAGUCCGAGUCCCACAUUCACACAUUUCUCGGGUUCAAUCAUACAUGUCCAUUUCGGUUCUUGUUCAAUCACUAUGUUCGUCUACGUUAGAAGCAUAAUAUUGUAAUUCUAACCUCUAGCCACAUGUAAGAUUACCCUACUAUGCAUGAAUGGCUAUAUAAUAACAUGCUCAACGAAAGUGAAACAGAUAUAGAAGGGAAUCCAACGAUUCCGGCGUGCACCCCCCACCUCUAAUAAUCGUGUGGGUGUAGUAUAUGACGUCUCCCGGAUUUUACGAAAGCCGCCUCCGCGCCCUAUAAUCAAAACGGUGCCAUAUUAGGCCUUUUGUACAUGAACUAUAUUCUAACAUUUUCGUAAUGUUAAACGGAGUUGCCGAACGUUUUUAGGGCACCCCCAAUUAGAUUUCUACGGGGUCAAUUUAUCCCCGAACAAUCCUAGGGCAAAAGGCCCCAAAUUCAAGCCCUAAUAUUGUCAUUUAGGGUUUCCCCAUGAAUCGAUCCCAACCUUAAGCAACAAUAGCUUAGGAUCAACUAAGAAGCAUUCCAGUAAGGUUUCUAGACCCUUGGAAUCAACCCUAGGGCUUCUAUGGCAAACCCUACCCAACCACCAUGAGAGCACUUGAGCUCUCAUGGGUUCCAUGGAGUUCAAGGCAUAUAGAAGGCUCCCAUGGCCAAAAACAACCCAAAGCUCCAAAACAUAGGGAUUAAAACCAAGCCCUAGACUCAUUUCUACCAAAAACUCACCUUAACCCAAGCCCCUCCAAGUCCUUCUUGUGGGAGAGCUUGUAAAACCCACCAAAGCACCAAAUCCACCUUCUCCUCCAAGUUCUUCUUCUUCUUCUCCAAGCCCUAGAGGAGUUCUAGAGAGAGAAAGAGAGGAAAUGGGUGAGAAUGGUGAAAAUGGCUGUGGGAGAGAGAUGGGUGACCAUAUAAAGUGUUGUAACAAUUGCACUUAAGCCCCUCCACUUGUUUCCCAUUGAUCUGCCCAAACUGGGCAUUUUUCGCCUUCGGGGACCGGUCUCCCCGACCAGGGACCGGUUCCCGAACGUGGGUAUUCCAGGACUUAGCCAAAUUUUCGAGUUUUUCUGCUGUUGCGCAGCGAGGGACCGGUCUGCCCGUCAGGGACCGGUCUCCCGAGGACCGGUCUCACCACCAGGGACCGGUUGCCUCAGGACUUCCUGGCAGGCUACGCGUACGGGGACCGGUCUCUCCUUCAGGGACCGGUCCCCGAGAGCUCAAAAUCUGGGACUUAGCCAGAUUUUCGGAUUUGCUCUCUCGGGUCCCUUUAGCUUCAUUUAUGGACUCUAAUACACUUAGGGUCCACUUUAACUCGUUCCACUCCAGGUUUCGCUCGUUUUGACGGAACUCGGCACGUCCUACAAGGGACGUGGUAUGUUACAACCGAAGUGGUGGAGUGCCACUUUGUGAAUGCUUGAGUAAUUUGAGAGGGUCUACCCAUGCACAUAGUGUUAUGGUGGUGGAUCCUUCGUCUAGUUGAUGCGAUCUUGCUAGAUCCACACCACAAGGACAAAGGGUAGUCCUGAUCUCAAGGGAUGGUGAUGUUUAGUAGGACUGUGAAGGAGUGGAUCCUCCUUAAGCUUAACAGCGGGUGGUGCUAGAGUGUGUGAAGUCAUGAGUAUUGACUUGCACUACCACCGAGGCUUGUGAAGCCAUAAUGCACUUUCGAUGUUACCUUUGGCGAAUGUGAGUGAAUUUGGUCUCACAUCUUCCGUAAUGGGCCUUUGGAUGAUUCCGAUGAGGGAAAGGCCACUCCGGAGUGCGAAAGUGCAUUGGAACCCUCGAUUAAGUAAAAUGAGUUGAAAUGAGGGGUGAAUUGAAUUAUGAAUGAGUGAGUUUCGAGGACGAAACUCUUUUUAAGGAGGGGAGAAUGUAACAAUAUGAAUUCUCGAAAUCCAAGAGUUGCACUUCGUUCAGAAUCGACUAAUGGUCAAGUUGGUAAGCUUUGGAAAAGCUAAGGAUGCACGAAACCCAAGAAGCGCAUUGGAAUGGAGUCCGCGAGAGCAAAAAAUGCAAAUCUGCACUUUUGGCAGGUUUUGCUCUCGGGGACCGGUCUCUGGCAGUGAGAGAUCGGUCCCAUCGGCCGAGGAUUGCGGGGUUGCUGAUGCAACCGGUCCCUGGCAGGGAGGGACCGGUCCCCUCAGGUGACACUAGCGAGAAUGGCCAAAAAAUUGGCUAAGUCCCGCGAGACGAGCUCUCGGGGACCGGUCUCUGGUGAGCAGACCGGUCUCCGGGGGACCGGUCCCUCAGGGAGAGACCGGUUCCCGAACACGUGGAAAAUGGGAAGGUCCUCUGGGACCGGUCCCAUGUCGGGAGACCGGUCUCUCCGCGCGGGUUUUGCCCAGUGAAGGUAGUGUAAAGGGUGGAAAGUUGAGGGCCUUCUUAGUAUUUUGUUACAAUAUGAGAGGGGAUUAAGAGAUGGCUUCUCUCUCUCUCUCUCUCUCUCUCUCUCUCUCUCUUUCUUUUCCUCACUCUCCUUCAUCUCCCUCUCUCUCUCUUUGUACGUGAAGGAAAAGAAAAGAAGAAAGAAAGGAAAAGAAAAGAAGAAAGAAAGGAAAAGAGAAGAAGAAGAGAAGGAGAAGAGGGAGGAGAAGAAGAGGAUCAUCAUUACCAUCAUCAUCUUCUUCUUCUUCUCACCAUUGGAGCAAGCUUAAAGAGGUAAGCUUGGUGCCCCCUCAUGGUAGAUCUUUAGAGAUAGGUUUUUGAUCUCUAAGUUGGUUUGAGAAGAACCCUAGCAUGCUAUCUAGAUGGAUUUUCCCCAUUUCAUAGAUCGAUUUGGUGGAUUUAGCUAGGAUAGCAUCUAGGGCACCCAAAAUAGGGUUUUGUGAUUUAGGAGGGUUUGAUCUUAUUUGACCCUCUGUAAACCUAAUUGAUAGGUAACGAAACGCGUUGGCGAAGUCGGUUCGGCAAUCCGACAAGUCAUUACAAAGAUAUUGAAAAAACGGACGUUUGGAGCUUUGUUUCCGCCUGGAAGGCCGAGGCGACGUCCAUAAAUUGUGAGAUCGAGUUCCGAGCGCCGUAAUAGCAAGGCGAAGACCUUUAACUCUUGAAGCUGCGAAGCGACGCGCUAUUGGAGUGUUACUUCAAGAUCGGGCCCCAAACGGGUGCCGAGUGUCGCGGGAGGCCGAUUGCAAGUAUCGACGAGCAAUCGGAAAGCUAGCUAAGGUGGGUUAUAUUUACCGAAGCGACUAGGUCACCUGUAUGUCUAAGUUAAUUGUUUAUCCUUGAUGCACGUAGUGCUAGCUAGUGUUAGAGCAUAUGAAUGCAUAAAAUGAAUGUUAUGUUAAGCUACCACAUAUCGUUUAUGGACAUAAUGUAAGAUGCUAGAUAAAUGCAUUGAGCAACGUUAGCUAAAGGCAUGAGAUAAAUGAUAUUUGCAUGUUAGCAUAAGAGUAGAAAGCAUGCUUAAUGUUAUAGUGUAAAUGUGUGACGACAAGAUAAGAAUGUUACGUAAAGGACUUGUAUAGGUGGACACAAAUGUACCUAUAGAUCGAGUGGCAUUGAACCUAGUGUCGAGAACAUAGGUUGAACAAGUGUGGCAUUGAACCUAGUGUCGAGAACAUAGGUUGAACAAGUGUGGCAUUGAACCUAGUGUCAAGAACAUAGGUUGUGAGAUAAAGAUAAUGAACCUAGAGUUAAUAAACCUAGGCUAUGAGUAUAGAAGCAACGAACCUAAAGUAUUAACUUAGGUUGAGAAAGGCUUGGACCUAGAUAGGUCAAUUCCAUAGGGUUAAGACCAACCCUUAAGUAAUGCGAAAUGGAUUCCGGAAUCCCAAAGCUUAUGGAUACACCGAGAGGGGUGUAGGGUGUGUGCGACGAUUUCGCCACCCAGGGCUAUAGAACCAUUGUCGUGGCGUGUGCGACGAUUUCGCCUCCGGAUGGUUAGCCGGUUAGUGGAUCAUACCGCCUGUUGACUAAACCAUUGACGUGGCGUGUGCGACGAUUUCACCGCUGGGUGGAUAAGUCAUGACCUAGGCUGUUGUUGGGUGAGGUGCGAUGCGUUCGCCGCCAGACGGCUAGGACAGGAGUACGGUGAGUUGUUGUCAGCUGAGGUGCAUGUGAGAGUUCCUUUGCCUUGAGCUAGACAGUGCGCGGACUAUCCGCAAUUGAUUGACUCAAGACCGAGUCGAGUGGCAUAGUUGGCUAGGGUAGAGUCACCUUAGGAAAGAAUGAAAAAUGCUAGGGUGUAGCAAUAAGUAAGAAUGUUAACGAAUAAAGAAUCGCCAAUGGGCAUAAUGUAAGAAAGAAUAAAGAAUAAUAACGUGUAAAGAAUGAUAAUGAGUAAAGAGUAAUAGAGAGUAAAGAAUGAAAGAGUAGGGUAGGAUUAAUUAACCUAUUCGGCUAGUUGCAUGAUCG